rnacentral:rRNA from 1 species
AUUGAACGCUGGCGGCAGGCUUAACACAUGCAAGUCGAGCGAGCGGCGGACGGGUGAGUAAUGUCUGGGAAACUGCCUGUUGGAGGGGGAUAACUACUGGAAACGGUAGCUAAUACCGCAUACCAUCAGAUGUGCCCAGAUGGGAUUAGCUAGUAGGUGGGGUAAUGGCUCACCUAGGCGACGAUCCCUAGCUGGUCUGAGAGGAUGACCGGCCACACUGGAACGUAGACACGGUCCAGCAUCGUAGGGGAGGCAGAAGUGGGGAAUAUUGCACAAUGGGGGAAAGCCGGAUGCAGCCAGGCCGCGUGUGUGUAGAGGGCCUUCGGGUUGUAAAGCACUUUCAGCGAGGAGGCGUUACUCGCAGAAGAAGCACCGGCUAACUCCGUGCCAGCAGCCGCGGUAAUAC